CCUACGGGUGGCUGCAGUCGAGGAUCUUCGGCAAUGGGCGCAAGCCUGACCGAGCGACGCCGCGUGCGGGAUGAAGGCCUUCGGGUUGUAAACCGCUGUCGGGGGGGAGGAAAGCCCGCGAGGGCUUGACCUAUCCCCGGAGGAAGCACGGGCUAAGUUCGUGCCAGCAGCCGCGGUAAGACGAACCGUGCGAACGUUGUUCGGAAUCACUGGGCUUAAAGGGCGCGUAGGCGGCCCGCGGGGUCUCGGGUGAAAUCUUCCGGCUCAACCGGAAAACGGCCCGGGAUACCGGCGGGCUCGAGGGGGGUAGGGGCAACGGGAACGACCAGUGGAGCGGUGAAAUGCGUUGAGAUUGGUAGGAACGCCGGUGGCGAAAGCGCGUUGCUGGACCCCCCCUGACGCUGAGGCGCGAAAGCUAGGGGAGCAAACGGGAUUAGAUA
rnacentral:rRNA from 1 species